CCCACACUAUGGCUCAUGCACGCGGCCGGUAAGUCCGUUCCGUGGUCCCGCAAAAAGAUAGAACAUGUCCUAUUCUUGUCCAUUUUAUGCACAAGGAUAGAACAUUUCUGCAGGAAUAAGAAAAAAUGAUGGCAUGCACUCUGCCAGGAUUCGUGUUUUGUGGAUCAGCAAUUUGCAGACUGCA